rnacentral:lncRNA from 1 species
GAACAUUAUAACGAUCGAGGUAAUUCAAUUUGAAUUAUUGUUCAGUUUAAAUUAUCUGAUCACUGCGUUUUCCGCGUUUUACAUGGUUUUAGGGAAACCACCAAUGAAGGGUGACUGUUCCUAUAACAGGGUGGUGGGCGUUUUCCAAGUAACAUACCAGCGUGCCCGCCCGGUACUAGGGCUUUUGGGGUAAAUUGCUGGUUAGAUUCGUAUGGCCGGGGAGCGGGCCGCAUGCCUGACAAAGCCCCGUGCCCGCAGGGUCUCCGUGAUGACGGGGCUAGCUGUUGGAGUGAUGCUCACAUUUACGGGAAGGGAUGUUGCUGCACACUAUGGGGAUGUUGUGGAAAAUGCAGAAGCGGCUACAAUGAUGAUGGAUGUACUUGCAGAAAAACUGAUGUCGGUAUCAAGUUGAACUUGUUCCAGAGGCAGUCAUGUCGUAGUGAUGAAGACAAGUACGGUGGUCUGUGCUAUCCGAAAUGUAGAUCGGGAUACCAUGCGGUCGGUUGUUGUAUCUGUGAACCAGAUGGAGGACCUAGAGUGGUAAAAAAGAUUGCGGAAAGGCGACAUUGUCGCAGCGACGAGGAAAUGUACAAAGAUGUGUGCUAUCCUAAAUGUAAAGUUGGGUACCGGCCAAUUGGUUGCUGCAUAUGUGACAAGUGUAUUUUUGGAGGAAAAUGAGACCCAUCGGUAUGCCUUUAAUGGAUCAGAUAUUGCCUUUACAUGUCUUAACUAUUCUUUAUUAAAUGCUUAUAUAUAGUUGUGUUUGGCAAAGUAUUUCUAUUAGAUGUUUUAAAACAGUUUCAUUUCAACAAUAAAAUAUUUAACAAAAGAACAGGUCAUAAGUUCAUGAGAAUAGUUAUGUUAUUUUUAGAAUGUAUUACUUUCGGGAACAAACUUUAUCAAAUCUUAGUUUGCUAUUAUUUUGCUUGUUCAAAAAAUCUUCUUACAGGUUAUAUUAAUUAUGUGAGUUUGUACAGGUGUAAUAUAAAGCAUAGCCCGCAUCAUUAUUCGCCGGUAGACACCGUCGGCUUUAGGAUUCUUCAGCUGGUAGAGAAGUUAUUAAAAUGUGACAAUGGAAAAAUGAAAUUGUAAAUAAAAGAAAAAUAUGGCAUUUAUUAUGCUUACAUAAAGAAAUUAGGAGCUGAAAAUUGCAUUAAAGCCACGUCUACAUACGGCAAGAAAAUCUUGUUGGGCCCAUUAAUCACUUAAUAAUUUAUCUCUAGUACAAGCAAUUAGUACUUUGCAAUAUUUCUUGAAAUUGGAAAACACAUUAGUUUUAAAUGAAAAGAAAUCAUGACGUAAAUAAAAAAAGAUGGCCCUUCAGAUACGAAGUGUUUAUAAAUAUCAAAUAUUUAGAUAUUUAAAAAUAGAGAAUCAUUAGUAAAAACAUUGAUUGAGAAAAAACUAGUUAUCCAGUUGUAAAGCAAAGCUACUUAAAAGAUAUUAUUUCAGGAAAUAUUAUAAAUCAGUCAUAUUUUGCCAAAAUUUUGAAUAGGGUUAUAGUAAAAUUGUGUAAUGAAAACGAUUUUCUAAUAUGUGACCUUGUAAGAAACAUCAUUGAUAAUGUGAAAAUACAUUUUGAGAACGCCAAACUAUUCAACUGGAGAACUAUCAUCUAUUAUUGAGUAUAUAAACUGCUUUUAAGAAUAUGAUUCAAUUAAAAUAUCUUUUCAUCUGUUGUCCACACUACCAUGUUUAUUUCUUAAAUAAGCCCAGCCUACAAAGGUUAGGGUUGGUAUUACCAUGGUUACAAAAUAUAUACAUUCAAGACACUUUUUUAUUCAAAUUCCUUGAUUUAUCUCAAUACACAUUUAAUGGAAAACUGUAAAUAAAAUACGUAUUGUCCAUACUGGGCAGGUGCUCCUCAUCAAAAACCCCUUAUUAGAGCAUUUGACAGCACAGUCUUGCAAGAAAAAUAGUUCUAAACGCUACAAGAUCUUGUAGCCAAAAAUUAUUUAGAAGCUGCCACUCAAAAAGACACUCGUGGAGGACACAAUGUACUGUUUAUUGAACAAUUUAGAUGAGGCUUAAGAUUUUUAUAAUUUCAAACGAUAGGAAAAUAGAAAAAAUGUAUAAAGAACUAAUCCCUAUCAUACUAUUUCCAGCGAACACUGAUUGGCUGAAUCUUUACAUGUGUCUGCAUCACGCUGCGUAUACUGCAGACGAAAAAAAACUUUUCCCCUUUUCAGCCUUCCAACCGCGUGCAAUGCACCGCGAUAGCAGUUAUAGCUUUAUUAGCCAUUUCUUCAGUCCAAUCUGUCAGUUCUCUGGCGACUUGAUGCUCUGCAUCAACAUUUUACUUGCUAACAUUUUAACUCCGUGUCAUGGUCCUUUAUCGGUAACAUUUUCUUCAAGUAAGACUGUGACUCGCUGCAGACUGGAGCGCCUGUAUAAAUUACAGACUCCGGUAUAUAUUGGAUUCAAGGAAUUUGAAUGAAAAGUAUCUUGAAUGUAUAUAUUUUGUAACCAUGGUAAUGCCAGCCCUAACCUUUAGGCAGUAUAUUAUACACUUAUGUAGGCUACAUGCGUACGGACAUGCAAGAAUUUGCGUUCCAAAUGAUAAUCACAGUUCCAGACAUGCGCAAAAGACCGCUCCAGCUCUGCAAAGGUAAAUAAUUUAGUUCCAAUCCGUGACUCAAGUUACAUCCAAUGGCGUCCAACCAACAUUUAAAUGUUGUAUGAUAGCGUCUUAACAGUGUUUUAUGCGUAAUAGAUAGGAUUUUUGAUAAUAGAAUAAAACAGAAUUUA